rnacentral:rRNA from 1 species
AGAGUUUGAUCCUGGCUCAGGAUGAACGCUAGCUACAGGCUUAACACAUGCAAGUCGAGGGGAAACGACAUUGAAAGCUUGCUUUUAAUGGGCGUCGACCGGCGCACGGGUGAGUAACGCGUAUCCAACCUGCCCACCACUUGGGGAUAACCUUGCGAAAGUAAGACUAAUACCCAAUGAUAUCUCUAGAAGACAUCUGAAGGAGAUUAAAGAUUUAUCGGUGAUGGAUGGGGAUGCGUCUGAUUAGCUUGUUGGCGGGGUAACGGCCCACCAAGGCGACGAUCAGUAGGGGUUCUGAGAGGAAGGUCCCCCACAUUGGAACUGAGACACGGUCCAAACUCCUACGGGAGGCAGCAGUGAGGAAUAUUGGUCAAUGGGCGAGAGCCUGAACCAGCCAAGUAGCGUGCAGGAUGACGGCCCUAUGGGUUGUAAACUGCUUUUAUAAGGGAAUAAAGUGAGUCUCGUGAGACUUUUUGCAUGUACCUUAUGAAUAAGGACCGGCUAAUUCCGUGCCAGCAGCCGCGGUAAUACGGAAGGUCCGGGCGUUAUCCGGAUUUAUUGGGUUUAAAGGGAGCGUAGGCCGGAGAUUAAGCGUGUUGUGAAAUGUAGACGCUCAACGUCUGCACUGCAGCGCGAACUGGUUUCCUUGAGUACGCACAAAGUGGGCGGAAUUCGUGGUGUAGCGGUGAAAUGCUUAGAUAUCACGAAGAACUCCGAUUGCGAAGGCAGCUCACUGGAGCGCAACUGACGCUGAAGCUCGAAAGUGCGGGUAUCGAACAGGAUUAGAUACCCUGGUAGUCCGCACGGUAAACGAUGGAUGCCCGCUGUUGGUCUGAAUAGGUCAGCGGCCAAGCGAAAGCAUUAAGCAUCCCACCUGGGGAGUACGCCGGCAACGGUGAAACUCAAAGGAAUUGACGGGGGCCCGCACAAGCGGAGGAACAUGU